GUUUUUCUUACUGGUUUUGUUUACUCCGGAAUUACUUUGCCGCCUCGCUGAUGCGUGGGGUCGAUUCCUGGUGGGUCGCGCCUAUCGGUUGCCGUGGCUGGCAUGGUGUCUUGUGUGCCCCGUCGUCGCGCUCCAGCAGUAAAAGAUCUUGUGCCACCGCCUGUGAUUUCGUAGCCCCGCCGAGCGUAUUUUCGUCUUUCCACCUUUUGCCUGUGUGCGUGGUUGGCCUGGUUGGCCCGUGGUUGGAUGAGGGGAGGGGGCGUGCCUAACACACUCAUGAAACUCUCUCGCUCGCCCAGAUUUUUUCCUCUCUCGUACUUCUCUCGCUCGAUCCUCACUGUUGCCGCCUCGAUUGCCAGCCGAUUCCGGCUGCUCCGGUGAGGUGCGGCGCCACCCAACACACACAUGGCUACUCCUCGACGAGCUCUACUAGCUUCACCUCGUCGAUCUAAUUUUCCUCGCCUCCUGUGGUCGCCCCCAUCGAUGUACCUUGCCAGGGUUUCGGUGGUGGAGGUGGGCCUCGCCUCCGACGGCCACCUGCUCGUUGCCCCGGUUUUCUGUUUUAGACUUAUGGUUUUCUCUUCUAAUUGUGUCUUAAUCUUGAGCUUUUUGUACACUGUUUGGGAUUAGAUGAUGACUAUGAAUGUGGGCAAUUUGUUUCUUGAUUGUGUCUUCGGUGGAUGUACCAAUUACAAUAUUGGCAUGGCUGCAUCUUUCUUAUAUUCAUUUAGAUGCUUUGUUCACUGCACAGAGCUAAUUUUUGUUGUUCACAACUAAAGCUCUUAUGGGUUGCACUGCUGCAGCUUAUACUAGAUGAUACAAAUGUGUGCUCCAUAGCUUUCUGUCCAAUUAUAUUAGCAUCUCCUGUGUGUUCUGUAAUAUUUUACAUUUUUGGGCUUGUGUUGUGGCUUACCAAGUCUAAUGUUUGUAUUGGUUUUUUCCAUUUUUUGUGUGGAAUUGGCCAGUUCAUAUGAAGCAAAUGAAAGGCAUGCAGUACCUACAUUGACAGGCAGCAUGAGUUAUUACAUAUUGUUGUGUAAUGUAUGAAAUACCAAAUUCACUUACUCAACAUAUAUCUGUCUCGCUCCUCCUUCCGUAGUUAAACCUUUUUGGUUAAGUUUUGCAGUCAUCACCUCAUCUUCUGCCUUGCAAUAUUGUCUCUGUUUGAUCAAAGUGCAUGAAUCUCUGGACACCAUAGGCAUCUUAGAAUUGAUAGUGUUGUGCAUGACUACACGUUGUUGCAAAAAUAUUCCUGAAAUUGAUGCUAGCUCCAUCUAUUUGUUGUUUCCAUGUAAUUGCAAUGCACUCUUUUCGAGCUUCGCUGUUCAGGAAUUUAUCAUCGCUUGUGUUUUCUUGUGGCUUGGCAGAGGUGUCGUUGUUGGUGGUCAAGCAGCUGAUGUAGAAGAUUCAUAGAGAGAUUUGUCGGGUGGAUGCCGGCAUCCUCGCCGCCGUCCGGUCCGGCAGCAGGGCACUGCUUGUAAAAAGAGGAGGCAAGCUGAAGAGGAAGUUUGGAAGAAGGAGAGCAAUCGUGCGCAGUUCUAACUGCCUCUUCCUCCUGUUGCUAAGAACCCCGCCUCCCGCAGGAGCAACCAUGCCUACUGCUUAGCUCAAGUGGGAGUGUUUCUGCUUUUAGCAGAGUGAACAUCUAUACUUGGAUGCUUUUUCCACAGGCAUCUCACUGUUGACUUGAUUACUGAUGGAAGGAUCUCCAUGCCGAUUGCUGUUGGGAAUCAUUUGCCUCUACACCGAUGACCCUCUCAUGUUGUAUUAUACAAUGAGCUACAAUGACGUCCUCCAUCGACAGCUAUUUGAACCUCAGUGCAAAUUCUUCUGUAAAAAUGACUCGCAUCAAGUCUUUUGCACUUUCCUCUUGACUUUCUAAAUGGGGAUCAUAUUAUGUGUAAUUGCUUUCUUUGAGGUAUAUCAAUGGCCAUGGAGUUCCUUUUAUGUGUCAUCUCCUUCACACCUUUCUAUCCUGAAAUUUAUAUGGUGUACUACUGAGCUAUCUGGGGUUGGUCCUGAUUGGGUUGACAUGUGGCAUGUAACUAAACUUAUUUGUACUGGACCAUUAUUGUUAUAUAACUAUCUAUACCUCUUU